CCCUUCGGGGGUGCUCGAGUGGCGAACGGGUGAGUAACACGUGGGUGAUCUGCCUCGUACUCUGGGAUAAGCCUGGGAAACUGGGUCUAAUACUGGAUAGGACCGCACUUUAGUGUGUGUGGUGGAAAGUUUUUUCGGUACGAGAUGAGCCCGCGGCCUAUCAGCUUGUUGGUGGGGUAAUGGCCUACCAAGGCGUCGACGGGUAGCCGGCCUGAGAGGGUGGACGGCCACAUUGGGACUGAGAUACGGCCCAGACUCCUACGGGAGGCAGCAGUGGGGAAUAUUGCACAAUGGGCGCAAGCCUGAUGCAGCGACGCCGCGUGAGGGAUGACGGCCUUCGGGUUGUAAACCUCUUUCGACAGGGACGAAGCUUUUUGUGACGGUACCUGUAUAAGAAGCACCGGCUAACUACGUGCCAGCAGCCGCGGUAAUACGUAGGGUGCGAGCGUUGUCCGGAAUUACUGGGCGUAAAGAGCUCGUAGGUGGUUUGUCGCGUCGUCUGUGAAAUUCCGGGGCUUAACUCCGGGCGUGCAGGCGAUACGGGCAUAACUUGAGUGCUGUAGGGGAGACUGGAAUUCCUGGUGUAGCGGUGGAAUGCGCAGAUAUCAGGAGGAACACCGAUGGCGAAGGCAGGUCUCUGGGCAGUAACUGACGCUGAGGAGCGAAAGCAUGGGGAGCGAACAGGAUUAGAUACCCUGGUAGUCCAUGCCGUAAACGGUGGGCGCUAGGUGUGAGGGUCUUCCACGACUU
rnacentral:rRNA from 1 species